rnacentral:lncRNA from 1 species
AAGGAGUGGAUCGCCGCCGGGUACUCCACCACCUGCACCGCCUUCCCCUUCCGCCGCAGCAUCCCGGCGUACCGCCGCUGCCAGUCCUGCAGCGUGUCGUACCCUCCGACCACCACCAUCGCCGGCGGGAACGCCUCCGCCAGCUCGGCGCUCUCGCCGGUGACGUGCGCCGCCGGGUGGUUGCGGUCGGUUCCCUCCGGCAGGAACGCCCUCCAGCACCAGUCCGCGCGCGCCAUGCUCACCACCGGCCCCACGCCGUCCAGCCUCAGCUCCGCCUCCGUCCGCUCCUCGCCGCCGAAGAACGGCUGCAGCAGGACGACGCCGGCGAGGCGGACGCGGCGGCUCGAGGAGGUGGUGGCGGCGGCCCAUCGGUGCGCGACGUGGUGGGCGAUGUUGCCGCCGGCGCUGUCGCCGACGAGGAAGCAGCGGGUCGACGGGGACGGCGGCGGCGACUUCGGCGGGGAGGCCGACGGUGCCGAGGUGGCGGAGCACGUCCAUGCCGUCGUCGUAGGCGGCGGGGUAGCGGUGCUCGGGGGCGAGGCGGUAGUUGACGGAGACGACGACGGCGCGGAGCUCGCGGCAGAGCCGGCGGCACAAGGCGUCGUACUGGCUGGAGGCGGCGGUGAGGAGCGCGAAGCCGCCGCCGUGGAAACGACGACGGGGAGCGGCGGGGACUCCACGGCGCCGCUGCUCGCCGGGGAGAACACGCGCGCCCACAGCCCGCGGGCGGCGUCGACGGUGACGUCGCCGGAGCGGACGCCGUUGGCGUCCGGGCGCGCCGCGGCGGCGCUCUGGCGGUCGGCGAGGGAGAAGAGGAAGCGGUUGACGGUGCCAUCGCCGCGCUGCACGAGGUCGACGGCGGUGACGAGAGCGAAGAGCUGGAGCCGCACCGUCCACGGCAACGCCGGCGGCUCGGGCCGCCGGAGCUCGUCGCCGGCCGUUUCUUGCUCCUUCUCGUGCCCCAUUUCGCGGGUUUCUGUGCGAGCCAAUGUCAGUGUGUAG